rnacentral:rRNA from 1 species
GACGAACGCUGGCGGCGUGCUUAACACAUGCAAGUCGAACGGAAAGGCCCUGCUUUUGUGGGGUGCUCGAGUGGCGAACGGGUGAGUAACAAGUGAGUAACCUGCCCUUGACUUUGGGAUAACUUCAGGAAACUGGGGCUAAUACCGGAUAGGAGCUCCUGCUGCAUGGUGGGGGUUGGAAAGUUUCGGCGGUUGGGGAUGGACUCGCGGCUUAUCAGCUUGUUGGUGGGGUAGUGGCUUACCAAGGCUUUGACGGGUAGCCGGCCUGAGAGGGUGACCGGCGACAUUGGGACUGAGAUACGGCCCAGACUCCUACGGGAGGCAGCAGUGGGGAAUAUUGCACAAUGGGCGGAAGCCUGAUGCAGCAACGCCGCGUGCGGGAUGAAGGCCUUCGGGUUGUAAACCGCUUGCGCCUGUGACGAAGCGUGAGUGACGGUAAUGGGUAAAGAAGCACCGGCUAACUACGUG